AGUGAACGCUGGCGGUAGGCCUAACACAUGCAAGUCGAACGGCAGCACAGGAGAGCUUGCUCUCUGGGUGGCGAGUGGCGGACGGGUGAGGAAUACAUCGGAAUCUACUUUUUCGUGGGGGAUAACGUAGGGAAACUUACGCUAAUACCGCAUACGACCUACGGGUGAAAGCAGGGGAUCUUCGGACCUUGCGCGAUUGAAUGAGCCGAUGUCGGAUUAGCUAGUUGGCGGGGUAAAGGCCCACCAAGGCGACGAUCCGUAGCUGGUCUGAGAGGAGGAUCAGCGACGCUGGAACUGAGACGCGGCCAAGACUCCUACGGGAGGCAGCAGUGGGGAAUAUUGGACAAUGGGCGCAAGCCUGAUCCAGCCAUACCGCGUGGGUGAAGAAGGCCUUCGGGUUGUAAAGCCCUUUUGUUGGGAAAGAAAUCCAGCUGGCUAAUACCCGGUUGGGAUGACGGUACCCAAAGAAUAAGCACCGGCUAACUUCGUGCCAGCAGCCGCCGCGGUAA
rnacentral:rRNA from 1 species